rnacentral:misc_RNA from 1 species
UUUCCGUAGGUGAACCUGCGGAAGGAUCAUUAUUGUAUAACCGAGGUGCGAUGGCUGUCGCUGAACCGAAAGGUCGUGCACGCCCGAGUGCCCUCACACACAUCCAUCUCACCCCUAUGUGCACCACCGCGUGGGUCCCCCUUUGGCUUGUUCGGAGGGGGGCUUACGUUUUCACACAAACUUUGUAUGCAGUGUAGAAUGUAUUUUUUGUUUUUGCGAUCACGCAAUCAAUACAACUUUCAACAACGGAUCUCUUGGCUCUC